AGUAACAUAAAAAAAUGUGUUAAAUUCUUGAUUUAAAAAUGGAUUAUUUCCCU
rnacentral:tRNA from 1 species